UACGUAGGUGGCAAGCGUUGUCCGGAUUAUUGGGUUAAGGUGCGUAGGCGGUUUGUAAGUCAGUGGUGAAUACUCUAGCUUAACUAGAGGGUGCCAUCGAUACUGCAGAACUUGAGUACAGAUGAGGUAGCGGAAUUGACGGUGUAGCGGUGAAUGCAUAGAUAUCGUCAGAACACCUAUAGCGAAGGCAGCUUACUGGGCUGUAACUGACGCUGAGGCACGAAAGUGUGGGAGUCAAACAGGAUUGAGACGUAC
rnacentral:rRNA from 1 species